GUGGUAGAGCGCGGCGGUCGCGGCCCGCCUUCGGACGGGCUGAGGAAAGUCCGAGCUCCACAGGGCAGGCUGCCAGGUAACGCCUGGGCGCCGCAAGGCGACGGAAGGGCCACAGAAACACACCGCCCAUCGUUCGUGGGUAAGGGUGAAAUGGUGGGGUAAGAGCCCACCGCGCGGUUGGUAACAGCCGUGGCACAGGCAACCCCCAGCCGGAGCAAGGCCAAAUAGGCGGCGAGGUCCGGCCCGGACCGUCCGAGCCGUGGGUAGGCCGCUCGAGGUGGCGGGUGACCGCCAUCCCAGAGAGAUGACCGUCCGGUCCUGACGGACCGAACAGAACUCGGCUUACGGCUUCACCACUCCU
rnacentral:RNase_P_RNA from 2 species